UACAGAGGGUGCAAGCGUUAAUCGGAAUUACUGGGCGUAAAGCGCACGUAGGCGGCUUUCUAAGUCAGGGGUGAAAUCCUGGAGCUCAACUUCAGAACUGCCUUUGAUACUGGGGAGCUCGAGUCCGGAAGAGGUGAGUGGAACUCCGAGUGUAGAGGUGAAAAUUCGUAGAUAUUCGGAAGAACACCAGUGGCGAAGGCGGCUCACUGGUCCGGUACUGACGCUGAGGUGCGAAAGCGUGGGGAGCAAACAGG
rnacentral:rRNA from 1 species